GAAACAGUACCUGAAACCGAACGCCUACAAUCAGUCGGAGCCCCCUUGCGGGGUGACGGCGUACCUUUUGUAUAAUGGGUCAUCGACUUGGUCUAUCUAGCAAGCUUAAGCCGUUAGGUGUAGGCGCAGCGAAAGCGAGUCUUAAUAGGGCGCAGAGUUCGUGGGAUCAGACCCGAAACCGAGUGAUCUAGGCAUGACCAGGAUGAAGGCAAGGUAACACUUGCUGGAGGUCCGAACCCACACCUGUUGAAAAAGGUCGGGAUGAGUUGUGCCUAGGGGUGAAAGGCCAAUCAAACUCGGAGAUAGCUGGUUCUCCGCGAAAUCUAUUUAGGUAGAGCGUCGAGCGAAUACCCCGGGGGGUAGAGCACUGGAUGGGUAAUGGGGCCCCACAGGCUUACUGAUCCUAACCAAACUCCGAAUACCGGGGAGUACUAGAUGGCAGACACACAGCGGAUGCUAACGUCCGUUGUGGAGAGGGAAACAACCCUGACCUCCAGCUAAGGCCCCUAAUUCAUGGCUAAGUGGGAAAGCAGGUGGGACGACCAAAACAACCAGGAGGUUGGCUUAGAAGCAGCCAUCCUUUAAAGAUAGCGUAACAGCUCACUGGUCUAAAUAAGUUGUCCUGCGGCGAAGAUG
rnacentral:rRNA from 1 species